rnacentral:rRNA from 1 species
GGAGGGGGCGAGCGUUAUUCGGAUUUACUGGGCGUAAAGCGCACGUAGGCGGCUAGGGUAUGUCAAAGGUGAAAGCCCUCGACUCAACCGAGGAACUGCCUUUGAAACUGCUUGGCUUGAGUCCCGGGAGAGGGGAGCGGAAUUCCCAGUGUAGCGGUGAAAUGCGUAGAUACUGGGAGGAACACCGGUGGCGAAGGCGGCUCCCUGGACCGGCACUGACGCUGAGGUGCGAAGGCGUGAGUAGCAAACAGGAUUAGAUACCCUGGUAGUCCACGCCGUAAACGAUGGGCAUUAGGUGCAGCGGGCGUCGACCCCUGCUGUGCCGAAGCUAACGCAUUAAGUGCCCCGCCUGGGGAGUACGGUCGCAAAGGCUG